UACGUAGGGUGCAAGCGUUGUCCGGCAUUAUUGGGCGUAAAGAGCUCGUAGGUGGUUUGUCGCGUUGUUCGUGAAAACUCACAACUCAAUUGUGGGCGUGCGGGCGAUACGGGCAGACUGGAGUACUGCAGGGGAGACUGGAAUUCCUGGUGUAGCGGUGGAAUGCGCAGAUAUCAGGAGGAACACCGGUGGCGAAGGCGGGUCUCUGGGCAGUAACUGACGCUGAGGAGCGAAAGCGUGGGGAGCGAACAGG
rnacentral:rRNA from 1 species